CACGUAGGGCGCAAGCGUUGUCCGGAAUUAUUGGGCGUAAAGAGCGCGCAGGCGGUAUGACAAGUCAGAUGUGAAAGAGGCCGGCUUAACCGGCAAGGGUCAUUUGAAACUGUCAGACUAGAGUGCAGCAGAGGAUAGUGGAAUUCCCGGUGUAGUGGUGAAAUGCGUAGAUAGUCGGAAGGAACACCGAUGGCGAAAGCAGCGUGCUGGACCUUUUCUGACGCUGAGGCGCGAAAGCCAGGGGAGCAAACGGG
rnacentral:rRNA from 1 species